AUUGAACGCUGGCGGCAUGCUUUACACAUGCAAGUCGAACGGAAAGAGGCCGCUAGUUGCUGAUGCGCGGGGAACGGGCGCGUAAUGAACACGAAUGUGACCUGUCCUGGGGGUUAAGUUAUCGAAAGGGAAGUUAGUAUCGCAUACGAUAUAUGCUCGUAAGCCGGGGUGUGUAUUGGAUCGCGCCAGCGGUGCGGCCGCUGUUAGAUUAGGUAGUUGGUGGGGUAAAGGUUUACCAAGCCAACGAUUUGUAGCUGGACUGAGAGGACGACCAGCCACACUGGGACUGAGACACGGACCAGACUCCUACGGGAGGCAGCAGUGGGGAAUUUUAGGCAAUGGGCGCAAGCCUGACCCAGCAAUGCCGCGUGCGGGAAGAAGGCCUUCGGGUUGUAAACUGCUUUUGUGCGGAACGAACCGGUUUUGGUUAAGACGCGGAGCUAGUGACGGUACCGUAUGAAGAAGCACCGGCUAACUACGUG
rnacentral:rRNA from 1 species